GAUGAACGCUGGCGGCGUGCUUAACACAUGCAAGUCGAACGAAGCACUUUAACCUGAUUCUUCGGAUGAAGGUUUUUGUGCCUGAGUGGCGGACGGGUGAGUAACGCGUGGGUAACCUGCCUCAUACAGGGGGAUAACAGUUAGAAAUGACUGCUAAUACCGCAUAAGACCACAGAGCCGCAUGGCUCGGUGGGAAAAACUCCGGUGGUAUGAGAUGGACCCGCGUCUGAUUAGGUAGUUGGUGGGGUAACGGCCUACCAAGCCAACGAUCAGUAGCCGAGCUGAGAGGGUGACCGGCCACAUUGGGACUGAGACACGGCCCAAACUCCUACGGGAGGCAGCAGUGGGGAAUAUUGCACAAUGGGGGAAACCCUGAUGCAGCGACGCCGCGUGAGCGAAGAAGUAUUUCGGUAUGUAAAGCUCUAUCAGCAGGGAAGAAAAUGACGGUACCUGACUAAGAAGCACCGGCUAAAUACGUG
rnacentral:rRNA from 1 species